UAGAGUUUGAUCCUGGCUCAGGACGAACGCUGGCGGCGUGCUUAACACAUGCAAGUCGAACGGAAAGGCCCUGCUUGCGGGGUACUCGAGUGGCGAACGGGUGAGUAACACGUGGGUGAUCUGCCCUGCACUUCGGGAUAAGCUUGGGAAACUGGGUCUAAUACCGGAUAGGACCGCACUUUAGUGUGUGUGGUGGAAAGUUUUUCGGUGUAGGAUGAGCUCGCGGCCUAUCAGCUUGUUGGUGGGGUAAUGGCCUACCAAGGCGGCGACGGGUAGCCGGCCUGAGAGGGUGUACGGCCACAUUGGGACUGAGAUACGGCCCAGACUCCUACGGGAGGCAGCAGUGGGGAAUAUUGCACAAUGGGCGCAAGCCUGAUGCAGCGACGCCGCGUGGGGGAUGAAGGCCUUCGGGUUGUAAACUCCUUUCGCUAGGGACGAAGCUUUUGUGACGGUACCUAGAUAAGAAGCACCGGCUAACUACGUGCCAGCAGCCGCGGUAAU
rnacentral:rRNA from 1 species